UUUAAUCCUCAUGCUAGUCCUGUGUGACAUGUGGUUCCAUCAGAAAACUGAACCAAACCUGAGCAUUUAAAACUCAUAACAGUUUGCAUUAACCAGUUUGUCAAAAACACUAAAUUCUGAGCUCCUCGGUGCAACCAUGAAGCCCUCACUGACUCAGUUGUGACCAACAGACCAAAAACACCUGUGUAGAAUAGAUAAUCAAAGAAAUUCAACUUUUUUUCAUAUGAUUUACGGCAUUCUGUGUCAAACUGCACAGAAGACAUUUUUGAGCAUUCUUCAUGGUUCUGUUUCCACAGAGGUGCAGGACUUUAGAUUGCAGUGAAAAAUGAGCCCACAGUGAAGAAAAAUGUAACAGGAGUGAAGAAAUGUGGAGUUCAGAGGGUUAAAGCGACUCCCCGCUAUACAAAACCUCGUCGGUCUCCACAAAUAUCGACAUACAAAAGCACAGAAACACAACAGACUGAUCCUGGAUUACUUGACCCUCAGGUGCCUUCAUCCUUCUGUAUCUCAACAAGGUCUCAACCUGCUGCUUCUCCUCCACAAAAACCAGAACUGACGGUGUGUUCAGGUGCACCUCGACAACUCACAAAGCUGAAAAUAUCCCAGUCUGUGCCAAUCAGGUUAAAGGAACGUGUGCCCAUUUAAAGUCCAGCAGUUAAUGUCUACAGUACGCAGAUUUCUUGGAACUGGGUUUUAGUGAUUGUUGUUGGGAACAAGAGAAAUCUGAUUCAUUCAGGUGGAUUUCUUGGUCUUUCUUGGCUCGCAACUCCUAAAAAAGACUGAAACAUCACUUUCUUCCAGUUAAAGCAUGCUUCCAGAGAAAAGAAAUCUGACUACUGCUCUGCUGCAUGUUUACACAGAUUUAUGCUAGAAUUAGUGUUUUUAUUGAGGGCAUAUAAAAAUACUUUAGUGUGUUCUGCUGUGAUGAAGAAGACAAGAGUUUUUGAAGACACCAUCUAAUUAAAAAUGUGUAUUUUAGAGUUGUUUUCUCUCCAUGUUUACACUUCUGGUUCUUGCCUGUCAUUAUAAGACGCCACCAGCAACACGCAUAUAUUCUGGAAGACAGAAAGAACCAGAGAAAUGACACUAAAGGCGCUGAGCAGAGACCGUGAACGUAGCACAAGUGUUCAAAACAUUCUUCUCAUGAUCUUGUAAAUUUCAUACCAGUUAUCUCAGGAUAAAAGCUUUUUUUUUUUAAUAUAAUUUGCUCUAAAUUCUGAUUUUGUGGUGCUCAAAAGCAGUUAAUGUAAAAUAAAAAAAACAAGUACCACAAUUAUUUUUGUCUAGUUUUGAUGGAAAUCUAUUUAAAUUUUGAUAUUAACUGAUGGUCCCUUGAUAUUUUUAUAUAUUUAAUCCAAUGGCAGGUUUUGAAGGCGUUUUGUUUCUGCAAAAUAACCAGAAUUACGUCACAGAAUCAUUGGAUUUUGAAGUUUCCUACUGUUCUUGAACUGGUUCAAAAACGUUCAUCAUGCCUUCUUGUUGAUACUUUACUUUCUGAUUCUUUUGUUCAGACAUUUGUUCAGAUGCCUAAUGUCUGAACGAAAGAAUCAGAAACUAAUGUUCUUGAAGUGCUUGUGUAGUUUGAAAAUUACCCAAGUCUGAGCUUUGCUGUGAUAUUUCCUCAAAAUCACUUUAUUAAUGUCUCAUUCAAAAAAAAUUACCAAAAAUAAAGACUUUGUUCUAAAAAGAUUCUGUAAAAAACAAAAACUUCUGAGUUUAUUGGUGUAACCGGUAAGCCAUGAAUGACUCAGCUGAGACCAACAGUCAUGUGACAAAAAUUCAGGGAGUUUUCGUCUGAACUGCAGGCAGUCUUUACACAAAGCAGAGAGGAGACAAGUUUGAACGCUGUAAAAUGUAAGUAGUAAAAUGUUUGGAUUUAGAUAUUCUAGUUUGCAGUAUUUUCCAGUAUUGUUAACAUGUGGGCACUUGCAAAAAAAAAAAAAAGUUGAACAUGUUUCUGGGUUUUCUGAUUUUUUGUAAAAAUAAAUAUGCAACAAAAAUCAAUUUUUGUUUUUGUGUUUUUUUCCUGAUUUGUCAUUUUGACUGUUUCAUUCUGCACUGAAGUCAUUUCUUAGUUCUCUCUUCGUCUAUUUUGUUUCCAUAGAGGGUCAGGACUUUAUAUUGCAGUGAA
ensembl:lncRNA